GCUGGGCAUGGUGGCACAUGCCUGUAAUCCCAGCUACUCAGGAAGCUGAGGCAGGAGAAUUGCUUGAACCCGGGAGGUGGAGGUUGCAGUGAGCCGAGAUCAUGCCACUGCACUCCAGCCUGGGCAACAGAGCGAGACUCUGUCUCAA
rnacentral:SRP_RNA from 2 species